rnacentral:lncRNA from 1 species
GAACGGCUCGUCCUUUGUUUGGACUGAGAUGUGAGAGGACACACUGACUGAGUGUUGAAGGACAAGUCAGGACUCUGCUUUGUUUCCACUGAACCUUACUUUCCUGUUCAUGCAUAUUAUGUGCAAUCUUGUUUGUGUAAUGUAUAUCUGAUGUUCUGUAGUACAUUAUAUGAGUGCAGAGACGAUUAGUCUAUAUGCAAUAAGUUCUCCAUAUUAAAUGAAUCAUAUCCGAUUGAAUGUUCUUAUUCCUUUGUGCUCAUUUUUGGUAAGAAUAGACGUGUUUUCAGAUCACGCGGGACUGUUGUGCCGGAAUGCAUUAGAGUAGAAAGAGAGAAGUGACAUGGCAAAUAUUUCAUUUCCCCAUCAGAUUGGGAACAACAGUUGGACUAAAGACGCUUCCCCUCCGUGGUGACAGCGUUCCACCCCAGAGCCUUCGUCCCAGCUGUCGCCCACAUUUCACCACAGGAGCCCGGCGCAUAACUCAUCAUCAAAAGAUUUUAUUCUUUCCCCCCUUCGUUCUUUUGCAGGAAAUAAUGCUGAUCUCCUGCUCUCCGGAAACUGUUCUGUGAUACUCGGAGUUGGCUUGAAGACGUUUAUUCACAGAGCCUCUGCAAGCCAACACAGUUAAAAAUAUUCUUCAAAAAGGAACCAAAUGCUGAGUUUAGGGGAAAAACAGCAUCUUGACGGCGAAUCUUCAGAUCAUACAUCUUUCCUGACAACACUAGGACACCUUGGGCUUCCCGAAACAAGGAGAACAAAAGGUCUAAGUGAAAUAUUCAGUGUCUUGAUUGUCUCCAGUAAAUGAACAGGCGUGUUCCUCGAGAGAUUUAACCUGUGCAGCAGCCUUUGAAACUUCUGCACGCUCAUUUAUUUUCCUCUUCACACACAACAGAGGUUUGAUUCGCUUUGAUCUUUCUUUUAAUAAGCAGAGACUUCCAGCCCGGCUUACGAGAGGAAGAGCACCUGAGAGCGACGCACACCUGGGAUCAGGGAAGACUGAGGCCCAAUGUUUCUGAGAGACGUCUCCUGUCGAUGCUUGAAGAAUUCCUCGAGUCAGAGCCAAAAGCCCCCGCUGAGCCUCUAACGCCUGAACAUCCGACUCAAAAUCAAACCUACUAUCUAGUUCAUAUUCAACACAGUUCAGCUGUAUAAAUAUUUAUUCAGUAUUACAAAAAGGAUAAAUUUAAACUGGAAGAGUCGGAAAGCAUGUAAAAUGCAGUGGUGUGAGCUUUGACUAACUUAUGUAGCAAAAAGCUAUGUAUGUGUGUAUAUAUAUAUAUGGAUGUAUGUAUGUGUAUAUUUAUAUAUGUGUGUGUGUGUGUGUGUUAAAUGCAAGCAAAUUUAAUUCAUUAUUUAAUUUUUUUUUUAAGUAGUAGCACUUUACAGUAAGGUUUAAUUUCUUAACAUUAGAAUAACAAACUAACAAAAAAUAGUUAUACACCAUUUAUAAAGCUUUUAUUUGAUUUCAUACACAUGCAUAAACAAUAUUUUAUAUUAUAAAACACAUAUGUAUUUAAUUUAAACGUGUA